rnacentral:rRNA from 1 species
UACGGAGGGUGCGAGCGUUGUCCGGAAUCACUGGGCGUAAAGGGCGCGUAGGCGGGUCUUUUAAGUCAGGGGUGAAAUCCUGGAGCUCAACUCCAGAACUGCCUUUGAUACUGAGGAUCUUGAGUACGGGAGAGGUGAGUGGAACUGCGAGUGUAGAGGUGAAAUUCGUAGAUAUUCGCAAGAACACCAGUGGCGAAGGCGGCUCACUGGCCCGUUACUGACGCUGAGGCACGAAAGCGUGGGGAGCAAACAGG